rnacentral:rRNA from 1 species
UACGAAGGGGCUAGCGUUGUUCGGAAUCACUGGGCGUAAAGGGCGCGUAGGCGGCCGAUCAAGUCGGGGGUGAAAGCCUGUGGCUCAACCACAGAAUUGCCUUCGAUACUGUUUGGCUUGAGACCGGAAGAGGUUAGUGGAACUGCGAGUGUAGAGGUGAAAUUCGUAGAUAUUCGCAAGAACACCAGUGGCGAAGGCGGCUGACUGGUCCGGUUCUGACGCUGAGGCGCGAAAGCGUGGGGAGCAAACAGG